rnacentral:rRNA from 1 species
CCUAGGGUGGCUGCAGUAAGGAAUAUUGCGCAAUGGAGGCAACUCUGACGCAGCCAUGCCGCGUGCAGGAAGAAGGCCUUAUGGGUCGUAAACUGCUUUUAUUUAGGAAUAAACCCCCGAACGUGUUCGGGGCUGAAGGUACUAAACGAAUAAGCACCGGCUAACUCCGUGCCAGCAGCCGCGGUAAUACGGAGGGUGCAAGCGUUAUCCGGAUUUAUUGGGUUUAAAGGGUGCGCAGGCGGGCUAUUAAGUCAGUGGUGAAAUCCCGGGGCUCAACUCCGGAACUGCCAUUGAUACUGAUAGUCUUGAGUUUGGUUGAAGUGGGCGGAAUGUAGCAUGUAGCGGUGAAAUGCAUAGAUAUGCUACAGAACACCAAUCGCGAAGGCAGCUCACUAAGCCAAAACUGACGCUCAUGCACGAAAGCGUGGGGAUCAAACAGGAUUAGAUACCCGUGUAGUC